rnacentral:rRNA from 1 species
AUUGAACGCUGGCGGCAGGCCUAACACAUGCAAGUCGAGCGAGCGGCGGACGGGAGAGUAAUGUAUGGGGAUCUGCCCGAUAGAGGGGGAUAACUACUGGAAACGGUGGCUAAUACCGCAUAGUAUCGGAUGACCACAGUUGGGAUUAGCUAGUAGGUGGGGUAAAGGCUCACCUAGGCGACGAUCUCUAGCUGGUCUGAGAGGAUGAUCAGCCACACUGGGACUGAGACACGGCCCAGACUCCUACGGGAGGCAGCAGUGGGGAAUAUUGGACAAUGGGCGAAAGCCUGAUGCAGCCAUGCCGCGUGUGUGAAGAAGGCCUUAGGGUUGUAAAGUACUUUAAGCUGGGAGGCGUUACCCGCAGAAGAAGCACCGGCUAACUCCGUGCCAGCAGCCGCGGUAAUUC